AAGAUUCGUCUGGGAUGAAGGAGGUAAUGUGCAUCUCAACAGACAUCAAAUGAAGCCUCUAGGUGCGCCUACUUUUCUAUUAAUAUACAUAAUAUCACAAAGCUCAGAGGAGAACCUCCAGGCUCAUUAUUUUUUCAACCGGCAUUCACCCCUAUGCCAUCUGUGGAGUUUACUGAUGACUUGAACCAUAAAACCAAUGACCUCCUGAAGGCCUUUUGUCCCAUUGGCUUCAAAGGAAGACUCACUGCCGCGGUACUGGAGGAGUAGCUGGUUGAUGGUUUUGCCCAUAGAAUCCAAUGCCUGGUGGCCUGUAAAAUCCUCCAGUUGCUGGUGCUUGCUGCUGCUGUGGUUGCUGAGAUUGUGACUGCUGUGAUGGCUGAGCAGCAGGCCUUGCCAAUCCCAUUG
rnacentral:misc_RNA from 1 species